UAAGUAAAAUGGCAAAUCCGCCGAAAGACGGAGACGCAAAGCCAAGGGGCUAAACCCGACAGGGCAUGCCAGCCGGUUGCACUU
rnacentral:ncRNA from 1 species